rnacentral:lncRNA from 1 species
CUUCCACCGUAUAUCGAGCAUAUGGAGCAUUCGGUGGCACCAUCAAAUCCGGAUGGAGAGCUGGAGGAGCCGAAGAAGCUUCGGGAGCUGGGGCAGGUGGAGGAGGUGGAGGCUGCUGUGGUGCAGAUUGUUGUGGAGGAGGCUGGUUAUACUGAGGGCACAUACUCCUGUUUCGCUGAGAUUGGCUCUCAGGGACAUGCUCAUGUGCGGAUGCUGUACCGGACCUCGAAGAUGAUGGCUCCGUCCGAUCAAGAAAUGUUUCCCCAUAAGUGGGGUGAGUCGCAGCUGCUAGGUUCCUAAGUAUCUUUCUACCAGAAGCCAUAUCGUUGAUCUGUUAAAAAAAAACAUUAUUGUUAGAAAUUAAUAAUUUAAAUAAGUUAUUAGAAAUAUUCUAAAAC